rnacentral:lncRNA from 1 species
AAAUUGUCCAACUUUCUGAUGUACAAUAACACUGUGAGUAUUUGUUCUUGUUUGUAGGUUCCAGUUCUCUUGGGUUCUGAGUGUCCUGUGAGAUACAGAAGUCCAGUAAUUGGGAUGCUCAGCUCUCUUGAAUUGCUUUGUUAUUAUUUCCAACUGAGACAAGAGCAACUACUUCUCUGUGUGUGAAAAUCUGGUGCACGUGUGCCUACUCAAAUGUUCUGGUCUCUGAAUUCUGCAGCAGACAAGGUUACUUACCCGAACAAUAACACGUGGUGAGAAGUCAAGCCCCAAGGAAUUGUUAAGAAGAAAUAUACCCAAAGGAUAACGUCUAUCAUGCUGCGGUUUGGCCAGCACCUCAUCAAGCCAUCUGUGGUCUUCCUGAAAACUGAGCUCUCUUAUGCUCUCGUGAACCGCAAGCCGGUGGUCCCAGGCCGUAUCCUUUUAACCAGUGCCUUGACCAUGGGUACCUGCACUCCUGGGAGAAGCAGGGAAGCUUGGUAUGCUCUUCAGGCCAGGUUUGUCCACAUCUUGAACAUUAGUCUUCAACACAGCCAUCAGAAUGUAAUAUGCAGCACACACAGGGUUAACAGCCUGGGUAAGGUACUGCAUGGCUUGCUCUUAGGGUGGGAUAUAAUUAAAAGUGAUGAUUGGAAUACAUGGUUAUUCAUAAUAGAUGUCACACAAUUACCAUAAGUAAUGCAAUACAUGCAAAAUCUCCAUUUAUAAUGAAAAU